AGCAGCCGCGGUAAUUCCAGCUCCAGUAGCGUAUAUUAAAGUUGUUGCAGUUAAAAAGCUCGUAGUUGAAUUUCGAGACCGGUUUAUUGGUCGUGCUUUUGUACGUACUGGUAUUAUUGGUUUCUCCUUUCUGACGAAUCUUAAUGCCAUUAAUUUGGUGUUUUGGGGAAUCAGGACUGUUACUUUGAAAAAAUUAGAGUGUUUAAAGCAGGCUCACGCUUGAAUACAUUAGCAUGGAAUAACGGAAUAGGACGUUUGAUUCUAUUUUGUUGGUUUCUAGGAUCGACGUAAUGAUUAAUAGGGAUAGUUGGGGGCAUUAGUAUUCAAUUGUCAGAGGUGAAAUUCUCGGAUUUAUUGAAGACUAACUACUGCGAAAGCAUUUGCCAAGGAUGUUUUCAUUAAUCAAGAACGAAAGUUAGGGGAUCGAAGACGAUCAGAUACCGUCGUAGUCUUAACCAUAAACUAUGCCGACUAGGGAUCGGAUGAUGUUAAUUUUUAAUGACUCAUUCGGCGCCUUACG
rnacentral:rRNA from 1 species